UGCACACGGCCUGGAGGCCCAUGUUCCUGAAAUUGCGGCUUUGAUCUAAUCCGAAUAAGUUAGAAUGCUGUCAUCUAGAAGUUAAGCGUCACCUUGACCCUUCUUCAGCCUCGCACACCCAGGAGGACUGGAACUCCGUUUCAGAUGACUCCCAUCUCCCAGAGCACUUAGCAGGAUACUGGGGAGCCACAGUGCCUUGGCCUGCUGUCACCUGCCCAGAAGUAAUAAAAAGGUUCUGGCUGCCAUGUGAAGACCAUCGAAGCUUAGGGUCCUCUUACAUCAUUGCAUGGCCCAGUAAUACUGUAUCUGUGACCCCAUUUCUGCCAAGAAAAGAAAAAAAAAGACUAGCGUGCUCCACUUGAAUGACACAAUGAAUCAUCCAAGGCAUCUUUUCCUGCCAGUUUUUAUCCACUUUUUCCUACAAGUCUCUCUCAUUUGGCUUUUUUGUUAUAUAUUUAGCAUCCUUGGUGAACCUAUCAGCUGGGACAGAAGAGGCUAUUUCUCUCCAGCAAUGUAGGGCAAGAGCAAAAGUUUAUCUUCGCAUUUUUAAAGGUAGCAGUUCACUGUGUUUGGGAAGAGCUAUAUUUUCCACCAAACAUGAUUACCACAGAAAGAGUUGUAUUAAACUGCUGAUAUGUCACAAGUCCCUCACUUCGGAACGGUAUUAGGAUUAGCAACCCUGAGGUUGUCAUGCGGUAAUUAAGGGACUGUGAAAUGUUAUAUAAAGGCUCACAGCUGGCUGUUCGAGACAGCAAAAUUGAAAGGCAGAUUGCUAUCACCAGGGGAGAUCAACUCGUCUAGGUCUGAAAUAUGAAGCCCUGGUGCUCACUGGAAAAGCUGCAAGUAUGUCAAGAGUUAAUUUCUGGCCAUUGUGUGACCCUCCUGGUUUUCCUGUGGAGGGUCGCAGUUCUGAAAGAAUACCAUUAUCACCUUGGACAGGGAUGGUGCGCGAGUUUCUGCCAAGAUAUGAAAUAAAUUUGUACUGCUGGUUCGAGUUCUUUUGUGCUCACACCUUCUCAAUCACUGGCUCUUAUGGAGGAAAUAAAGACAGCAUUCAGAAGACAAAAGUUCUCUGUCCCCCAGUCCACUGGCUUACCACAGCCCUCGGAGAAACGGGAAGUCGAGCUGCUUAGGAAGCUAUUACCAUUCUACUCGGGAUUUCCUGCUGUUCUCAUUGUCAUUGAAUCCCUGAUAGUGUUAUUUAGAAAUAAGGGAUAAUCGCUAUCGGUAUAUUGUGUAUGAGACAGAAAACGGUUUCUGAGAUAGACUAAUAGCCAAAGCCAAACGAAAUCGUUUAAUCCAUCUCCAAAGCUGUUUGUUGAGAGUCUACUACAAAGCUAUAAAAUCAUUACUAUUAUAGAGCACAUCAUAAAUGAGAAGUUUCUCUCCCUGGAGAGGGCACAGACUGAUUCCAUUAUGCUAACUCUAUCUAGCACUUUCUGGGUAUACCGCGCCAGGCAUCAGAAUAAGAUGAAUAUCAGUUAGUCUCCGAGUAAAUAUGAUCAUUUUCACUGAGUAACACUUCCCUGCCAGAAAACCUCUAAAGUGUAGAAUUUUCCUGACUUUUGAUCAUUAGUUUUCCCAGCAGCCGAGCAUCAACCCAACACUUUUUCUGAAAUGGUGGAGGUCUAGGGUGCAAUUGGGCCGUUGAUUGGAAGGCUUGGCUUCUAAGUCCAACAAUACCGGGCUACCAUCAACUUAACCACUGAAAAUCACUUUGCUGUUCCAAUUCUUGACAUAUCUGUUUUAAAGUAAUGACAACUUAUAAAACAAUGUUUUCAGUUCUAAGUAAGCCUUAGUAACUUCUAUAGUUAUAGGAGUAAAAUUAUUUAUGUCUAUGGACUCUAAAACCAUCUCUGAAUAAUCCACCUCCUGCAAUGUUUAGUGUAGAACCUUCCACAAUUAGGCGCUCAGUAAGUGCUUUUUAAGGAGAAGAAGGGUAAAAAUCCAUUGCUAUGACAAAUUCCACCAGAGUAUCUGAAACCACCUUAAAACUACUAUGUGUAAACCAGUAGCUUGGGUUCAAAUAUAUAUUUAAGAUUUGAGAGAAUAUUUGUUUUAAACCUUUUUUCAAACUCUAUCUAAAAAUAUGAAUCUAGUCAUGAAACACUAAACUCCAUUCUUUCCCUAAAAGCAGUUCCAUUCCAUUCUAAUGUCUUUACUAUUGUGAGGAAGAGUAAGUUAGAAAGUGAUAGCAUAAAAGAGGGGUGACAGAUAAGUUUCAUCUCACAUGCCAGCUGUUAAAACAACAAUGCCCACCUGCAGGUUGGGGUAAAGAAACAGCCUGAGUGUCUGGAUUAUUGAAAGGUGUUUUCUUAUGGGUUUAAGAAGGAGCAAGGGGGUCUAUUUAUAUGAGGUUGCACAGAAAGUAUGUAGUUUGAGGAAUCAUAGGCACUCUAAGGGUUAAGUUUGAUUCAGACUAUAGAGAAUAUAAUGAAAGACCUAGAAUCUCCUUAAAAAUACUUCAUAGACAGUGACUGAACGCCAUGUUUACACAUGCUUGUAUGUGCGCACGCACACACACAUCACACUCCCACAUAUUAUUUUAAUGUACUAAGGUAGUGGUUAAAGACUUUGACACUACAGUGAUUGAGGAAUAAGGUCUGUGUUUGCUGCCCCUAAAUCCGGGUGUGUCCUUGAAGUUCAAAACGGAGAUACAGACAAUGCAGUAGUUUGAUGGUUAAGGGUUCAGGUCCUGGAUUCCAGUUUCUGAUCUGUUUUACUUUGAGCAAGUUUUUAACCAUCUCAAUGCUUCUGUUCUCUCACCUAUAAAGUGAUUAUAUAAAAGUUUACAGGGAGAUUUAAAUGAAAUAAUAUGUGUGUAGUGCUUAAAUUAGGGUCUGGCACUCAGCAAAUGCUCAAUGAGCACAUUAAUAUUAUUAUCCCAAGAGGAUCAAGCCCAAGUGCUUUGGGAACAAAGAGAGGGACAUGCAUCCAAGACGAUAAAGAGCCAGAAAAGACUUCAUGGGAGAUGCAACUUUUAACCUGAGACAAACCAGGGAAGGAGGAAUUGUCUUAGGAAGCACUACCUUGGGGAAAAGGAGGCAAGAGAGAGCCUGACAAGGUGCUGGACUUGACUCCAAAGCCUAUGGUGUCAUUUAGUCAUUAUUCAAUUCCUCAUGCAUUCACAUGUCAUUGACUUUCUAAAUUCUAGUUCCUACGUCCCAGGCUUUCAAUCAUUUUUCAUCAUUUACUCUAACUCUUCUCCAAAUGUCAACUACUCCCUUCCCUAGACAAAGAGACUAGGCUGUUCCCAGCAUCCUAAUACAAGUCCAGCAAGUCUCCUUCUCUUACCCUGUGGUCUGCUGUGGCCUCCAGAACCCAGGACCCGGUCACUCUCUGGGCUUUUGCACUGGUAUUUGGAAGUCAUUUAACCUUGCUAGCCUGGUAGGGGUCAGUCCUUGGCAAGUGAUGACCUCAUCCUGACACUAGGCAAACAUUUGGGAAUAGAAACAGAAUGGUUCAUUUAAUAGCUUAAAAGUCCUGCGGAGGCCUGUGUGCAUGAAAACUGCUAAAAACAAGGUAAUAUUCAGCCUGAGGGGCUAGAUCACUUGUCAAAGCAACAAAUGCUUUUUUUAUAGAAUGGCUACCAGCCAGAUUCUUUGAUACUGCUCCUAAGAGGACCAAAGAUGAGGAGGAGGGAAUUUCAAGUGAUAGGGAUGCUGUGAGGGCAAAAGCCACACAUUUCAACCCAAAUCACCAAACAUGUGCUUUCAAAAAUAAAUCUUUCCUCAGUGUGCAGGGGGCGGCAAGAGACCUUGCAACUGAGGUAACUGUCGACUUCUGGUCCUCUUACCCAUUGUACAAAAGGAUGAGCGCCGGGGUGAGGCCCCAGGGCCUUCCUAGUGCUCAGGGAGUAGAAUCUGUGCAAGAAUUUCACAUCUGAGCCAAAUGGGUGGAGCCAGUUUGGCUUCUGGAAUGCUCCACAUAGGGAAAAAGCUGUUCAAGACAGAAUUAAAUGCAGGUCACCCAGGGAGUUUGGAGCUGUGCAGACUUGAGUGAAUCACAAUCCGAAACAAGGAUUAAGUUGUUUAAUUUUGAAUAGUUUUCUCCUAAUUUUCUCAAAUAAAUGUCAUUUCUAGUGAUCCCUGCUCCGAACAUUAAUAUAAUAAGCACGCUGGCUAAUAGAAUUCGUAGUAGUAAUGGAAUCUUUCAGCAGCAAGUGUAUCUAAAUAUCCAUUUCAGAAAAUAGCAUUUGUUAAAAUGUAAAAAUGGAUAAGAAGAACAAAAGAAAAAUAUUGCUUUUGGGUUGUGUUUGAUGGCUUUUUUUCAUUAAGCCUACUACUUAUAAUGAUAAAACGGUCCUUGGGAAUUAAUACUCUCAGAAUUCGUAAAGCAUCCUUUCAGAGUCUAAAACUGCCACCUUGCCGUUGUGAUCUUAGGAAGUAAGGCAGUGGCAAUGCUGUUUACAAGGGGAACAACCCUCCUAGUGUCCUAAAAUAGACAGGUUCCAAGUUACCUGGAGAGACUAGAAAAUUAGAAGCCGGGCCCACUUCUUUACUUGCGACAAAGUUAAUUUUAUUAAGUGAUUGUGGGAAAAUGCAUAUUGCUGCCCGUUGUUGAGAGAGAAGACACGAGAGGGACCAGCAGAGCCUUCUAAACCAGCACCCUUUAUUAAGGAAAGAGCAUCACAAUGGAAUUUCUGCUUUUCUUUUCAAAAAACAUUUAUUCUGAAGACCAGUAACAGAAAUGAGGUGAAAAAUCAUAAAGAAAAUACUAGCCAUAUGAACAUAAUGAAUCAUCAGAGAUUGAGAAAUUCAUUAGUGCCCAUGAAAUAAAAAUUAAUAAGACCAGAGGCCUGCCCUGUUUUAUUAAGUGCAAAGUUUUAGUUUGGGUGCUG